CCUACGGGUGGCAGCAGUGAGGAAUAUUGGUCAAUGGACGAGAGUCUGAACCAGCCAAGUAGCGUGAAGGAUGACUGCCCUAUGGGUUGUAAACUUCUUUUAUAUGGGAAUAAAACGUUCCAAGAGUGGGAUUUUGUAUGUACCAUAUGAAUAAGGAUCGGCUAACUCCGUGCCAGCAGCCGCGGUAAUACGGAGGAUCCGAGCGUUAUCCGGAUUUAUUGGGUUUAAAGGGAGCGUAGGUGGAUUGUUAAGUCAGUUGUGAAAGUUUGCGGCUCAACCGUAAAAUUGCAGUUGAAACUGGCAGUCUUGAGUACAGUAGAGGUGGGCGGAAUUCGUGGUGUAGCGGUGAAAUGCUUAGUUAUCACGAAGAACUCCGAUUGCGAAGGCAGUUCACUGGACUGCAACUGACACUGAGGCUCGAAAGUGUGGGUAUCAAACAGGAUUAGAUACCCCGGUAGUC
rnacentral:rRNA from 1 species